rnacentral:lncRNA from 1 species
GAGAACCGCAGGCCAAGUAACCCACAGCCCCUGCGCCGAGAAGGCAGCAGCUCCUCACUAGGAUCACAAGAGCUUUCCAUCUCUGAGAUCUACCCAGAUAACACCACGCAUACUGAGUCACAGAGACGACAUGUCGAGUUAAUAGAGCUGAUAAAUGAUGGGAAAGGUCUCGGCUUUGGCAUUGUUGGGGGAAGGAGUACAGGAGUAUUGGUUAAGACGAUCCUUCCUGGAGGAGCUGCUGGUAGGGACAACCGCCUUCAUAGUGGAGAUCAAAUUCUUCGUAUUGGGGAUACAGACUUGGCAGGAAUGAGCAGUGACCAAGUGGCC